GGCCCUACGGGGCGCAGCAGGCGCGAACCCUUUACACUGCACGCAAGUGCGAUAAGGGGACCCCGAGUGCGAGGGCAUACAGUCCUCGCUUUUGUACACCGUAAGGCGGUGUACGAAUAAGAGCUGGGCAAGACCGGUGCCAGCCGCCGCGGUAAUACCGGCAGCUCAAGUGAUGACCGAUUUUAUUGGGCCUAAAGCGUCCGUAGCCGGCUACGUUGGUCCGUCGGGAAAUCCACCUGCUCAACAGGUGGGCGUCCGGCGGAUACCACGUAGCUUGGGACCGAACGACCCGAGGGGUACGUCCAGGGUAGGAGUGAAAUCCCGUAAUCCUGGACGGACCACCGAUGGCGAAAGCACCUCGGGAGGACGGAUCCGACGGUGAGGGACGAAAGCUGGGGUCUCGAACCGGAUUAGAUACCCGGGUAGUCCCAGCCGUAAACGAUGCCUGUUAGGUGUGGCACCCACUACGAGUGGGUGCUGUGCCGUAGGGAAGCCGCUAAACAGGCCGCCUGGGAAGUACGUCCGCAAGGAUGAAACUUAAAGGAAUUGGCGGGGGAGCACUACAACCGGAGGAGCCUGCGGUUUAAUUGGAUUCAACGCCGGG
rnacentral:rRNA from 1 species